rnacentral:rRNA from 1 species
AUGAAUUUUCAAGAAAAAAAUAUUUACAAACAUAAAAUCGUACUAAAACCGACACAGGUGGAUCAGUUGAAUAAACUAAGGCGCUUGAGAUAAUCGUAGUGAAGGAACUCGGCAAAAUAGCUCUGUAACUUCGGAAGAAGGAGUGUCUAAUAAAUUAAUAUUUAUUAUAUUAAUUUAAAAGAUAGCAUAAAAUUGGGAGUAGCGACUGUUUAAUAAAAACACAGGACUCUGCUAAAUUGUAAAAUGAUGUAUAGGGUCUGACACUUGUCCGGUGCUGCAAGGUUAAGAGAAUAUGUGCAAGCAUUGAACCUAAGCCCCAGUAAACGACGGCUGUAACUAUAACGGUCCUAAGGUAGCGAAAUUCCUUG